rnacentral:rRNA from 1 species
CCUACGGGUCGCACCAGUGGGGAAUAUUGCACAAUGGGCGCAAGCCUGAUGCAGCCAUGUCGCGUGUAUGAAGAAGGCCUUCGGGUUGUAAAGUACUCUCAGCGAGGAGGAAGGCGUUAAGGUUAAUAACCUUGGCGAUUGACGUUACUCGCAGAAGAAGCACCGGCUAACUCCGUGCCAGCAGCCGCGGUAAUACGGAGGGUGCAAGCGUUAGUCGGAAUUACUGGGCGUAAAGCGCGCGCAGGCGGUCUGUUAAGUCAGAUGUGAAAUCCCCGGGCUCAACCUGGGAGCUGCAUUUGAAACUGGCAGGCUUGAGUCUUGUAGAGGGGGGUAGGAUUCCAGGUGUAGCGGUGAAAUGCGUAGAGAUCUGGAGGAAUACCGGUGGCGAAGGCGGCCCCCUGGACAAAGACUGACGCUCAGGUGCGAAAGCGUGGGGAGCAAACAGGAUUAGAUACCCCUGUAGUC